rnacentral:rRNA from 1 species
UAGGGAAUCUUCGGCAAUGGACGAAAGUCUGACCGAGCAACGCCGCGUGAGUGAAGAAGGUUUUCGGAUCGUAAAACUCUGUUGUUAGAGAAGAACAAGGACGUUAGUAACUGAACGUCCCCUGACGGUAUCUAACCAGAAAGCCACGGCUAACUACGUGCCAGCAGCCGCGGUAAUACGUAGGUGGCAAGCGUUGUCCGGAUUUAUUGGGCGUAAAGCGAGCGCAGGCGGUUUCUUAAGUCUGAUGUGAAAGCCCCCGGCUCAACCGGGGAGGGUCAUUGGAAACUGGGGGACUUGAGUGCAGAAGAGGAGAGUGGAAUUCCAUGUGUAGCGGUGAAAUGCGUAGAUAUAUGGAGGAACACCAGUGGCGAAGGCGGCUCUCUGGUCUGUAACUGACGCAGAGGCUCGAAAGCGUGGGGAGCAAACAGG